rnacentral:rRNA from 1 species
GACGAACGCUGGCGGCGCGCCUAACACAUGCAAGUCGAACGGAGCUGAGAGAAGCUUGCUUUUCUUAGCUUAGUGGCGGACGGGUGAGUAACGCGUGAGUAACCUGCCCUGGAGUGGGGGACAACAGUUGGAAACGACUGCUAAUACCGCAUAAGCCCACGAUCCGGCAUCGGAUUGAGGGAAAAGGAUUUAUUCGCUUCAGGAUGGACUCGCGUCCAAUUAGCUAGUUGGUGAGGUAACGGCCCACCAAGGCGACGAUUGGUAGCCGGACUGAGAGGUUGACCGGCCACAUUGGGACUGAGACACGGCCCAGACUCCUACGGGAGGCAGCAGUGGGGGAUAUUGCACAAUGGGGGAAACCCUGAUGCAGCGACGCCGCGUGGAGGAAGAAGGUUUUCGGAUUGUAAACUCCUGUCGUUAGGGACGAUAAUGACGGUACCUAACAAGAAAGCACCGGCUAACUACGUG